rnacentral:rRNA from 1 species
GACGUAGGGCGCGAGCGUUGUCCGGAUUUAUUGGGCGUAAAGAGCUCGUAGGCGGUCUGUCGCGUCGGGAGUGAAAACUCAGGGCUUAACCCUGAGCCUGCUUCCGAUACGGGCAGACUAGAGGUAUGCAGGGGAGAACGGAAUUCCUGGUGUAGCGGUGAAAUGCGCAGAUAUCAGGAGGAACACCGGUGGCGAAGGCGGUUCUCUGGGCAUUACCUGACGCUGAGGAGCGAAAGUGUGGGGAGCGAACAGG